UAGCAAUACGAUGGAAAGUCUAGUGGCGAACGGGUGCUUAACACGUGGGCAACCUGCCAGGAAGUGGGGGAUAGCUCGCCGAAAGGCGAAUUAAUACCGCAUGUGAUUAGAGAGGACAUCCUUUCGAAAUUAAAGUCGGGGCAACCUGACGCUUCUUGUGGGGCCCGCGGCCUAUCAGCUAGUUGGUGAGGUAACGGCUCACCAAGGCUUCGACGGGUAGCUGGUCUGAGAGGACGACCAGCCACACUGGGACUGAGACACGGCCCAGACACCUACGGGUGGCAGCAGUCGAGAAUUUUUGACAAUGGGGGAAACCCUGAUCGAGCGACGCCGCGUGGAGGAUGAAGGUCUUCGGAUUGUAAACUCCUGUCAUUGGGGAACAAGGUGCAUACGUUAACUGCGUGUGCAUUGAUAGUACCCGAAGAGGAAGAGACGGCUAACUCUGUGCCAGCAGCCGCGGUAAUACAGAGGUCUCAAGCGUUGUUCGGAUUCAUUGGGCGUAAAGGGUGCGUAGGCGGCGCGGUAAGUCGGGUGUGAAAUCUCGGAGCUUAACUCCGAAACUGCAUUCGAUACUGGCGUGCUUGAGGACUGAGAGGAAACUGGAAUUCACGUGUA
rnacentral:rRNA from 1 species